rnacentral:rRNA from 1 species
GAUGAACGCUGGCGGCAUGCCUAACACAUGCAAGUCGGACGGGCAGUGGUGUUUCUUGUGGCGGUCGGGUUAGCAACGCGUGAGAACCUGCCCUUGGGAGGGGAACAACAGAUGGCAAGGGCAGCUACUAGAACGUAGGCCUAGGAGCAAAAGAUGGAAUCCGCCGGAUGAUGGGCUCGCGUCUGAUUAUCUAGUUGUAGAGGCAAUAGCUUACCACGGCGAUGAACAGUAGAUGUUAGGAGAGGAUGAUCAGCCACACUGGGACUGAGACACGGAGCAGAGACCCUCGGGCGACAGGAGAAAGGAUGUCUCCGCAAUGCGCGAUGGGCUAACAGGGCCUUGGGGCGGGGAAGCAGAAUGACUAGGGAUCAAGAACUUCGUUACUAAGAGAACAAGUCAUGACGGUAUCUGGGGAAAAAGCAUCGGCUAACUCCGUG